UUUAUCUUUCAGCUGCCUACAUAAGUUAAGAUCCAUGUCCGAGAUUAAUAAACCAUCCCGGAAACGGGAGAGUGAAGGAGUGCAAGAUGCAUCUGGCGCAGAGAAAUGGCUAGACCCAUAGAAGUGACCAAAAUCUGUAUGCUGUGGUUUUCCAUCGCCCGAAGUGAAUGGAUUUGGGAAAAUCUCAGUCCCAACACGAUUGAUCGAUCCGACAAAAUAACUAUUUGCUAUUGCAGCAUUUCGGGCCUCAAUAGGCCACAUUGGUUCACUGA
rnacentral:misc_RNA from 1 species